rnacentral:rRNA from 1 species
UACGAAAGGGGCUAGCCUUGCUCGGAAUUACUGGGCGUAAAGCGCACGUAGGCUGCCUUGUAAGAUGGGGGUGAAAUCCCCGGGCUCAACCCGGGAACUGCCUUCAUGACUGCAAAGCUAGAGGAUGCGAGAGGUUAGCGGAAUUCCGAGUGUAGAGGUGAAAUUCGUAGAUAUUCGGAAGAACACCAGUGGCGAAGGCGGCUAACUGGCGCAUUGCUGACGCUGAGGUGCGAAAGCGUGGGGAGCAAACAGG